UGGACAGAUUAUUGUAUUCACGGCGUGAAACAGGGGAUUACACUGUUUUUAAAUGGAAAGUGAAUCAAUUAACAUAAUAGACUCCU
rfam:Nicotiana attenuata strain TT chromosome 5, whole genome shotgun sequence.